UUGACCGAAAAGCUUUGAUUUAGCGAGGGGUUGGUUAAGUAUUUUGUGGCGGGUCGCCAUGUGAAAUCUUUCGUUGGAGGUGAUAAAUGAGUCGUUUAGCUUUAUAUCUGUUUGGGGGUUUAAUGUUUUGUGUUACUCGUUUGGUGAGGAGAUCUGGCGAGUGUGUAUAUCAAUGGUUGUAUUUAAAUUAGCUUGAGGUUAGGGUUACCUUUAGUUUAUGUGUAUGUUACAGUUGCUUUUAUUAAUUAGUAUUGGUUACGUUUGGUGACCUCCCUUGUGUUAAUUUGUUGAAUUUAGAUUAUCACUUAAUAAGUAAUUUUAUUAAUCUCUUUGUUUUUCAUCUACAUCCCGUCUGUUUAUUAAAAACAUUUCCAUCCGGGUAGUAUUGAUGGUAGUGCCUGCCCUAUGUGUUAUAAAUGGCCGCAGUAUCUUGACUGUGCGAAGGUAGCAUAAUUAAUUGCCUUUUAAAUGGGGGCUUGUUUGAAUGGUUUGACGUGGUUGUUAGUAACAUGGUGAUUUUAUUUUGAAAUUGAUUUUGCGAAUUCAGAAUUUGCAUUAUUUAAUUAGACGGAAAGACCCUAGGAUCUUUGAUAUUUUUGCUUGGGGCAAGUGUUGGUGUUUUAUCCUUUUUUUGACCCUCAUUACGAGUUUAAAGAUUUAAGUUACCCUAGGGAUAACAGAGUGAUAGUUUAUUAGAGAUCUUAUCGAUUAAACUGUUUGCUACCUCGAUGUUGACUUGGGUUAAAUGUUUCGGCGCAGUAGUUGGAAGUUUUGGUCUGUUCGACCAAAGGUACCCCCA
rnacentral:rRNA from 1 species